ACCUGCCUGUGGAGUUCUGUUAAGUCCUGUCUUUUGGAACAGAUAGAGCUAACGGAAAGACAGUGUGUUGGUGUCUCAGACCAGCCAACCUUGGAGCAACCCUAGAAGCAAGGUCGUUAUUUAAACCUGUUCAAAUAAUAAUGUUCAGAAUCAUGGAAAAUAAAUAUAAAAUAAAACACACUCACUGGUUCCCAAUGGUUAUCUUGAAAAUAAAGUUUUUUUUUUAAAUCCUAAAAUCCUAUGAUGGAGAAAUGCGUGAACAAAUCUGAGAAAUGCACUCUGCAGAGGAUCGCAGAAGUGAUAUAGCCCUAGCCAUCAUGGAGCAAACCAGUUAAAGAUGUGAUCUCUCAGCUUCAUGAUUUUACUGCCCGCUGCUGUGCUUCCCGACCAUGGUGGACUCUGCCUCUGGAACCACCUGUGUCCAUGGUGGCGAAUGAUGUUUCUGACCUUCAGUCUGGAGGAUAAGAAGGAGCUGUGCAGCACCUACCUAUGGUGGGACAGCUCUGAAAGGGACAAGCAUGCUGCAUCAGGACCCUGGGACAAGCAAGCAC
ensembl:lncRNA